GCUGUAUAGCGUGUAUAGUGGGUAUAAGGUGUAUAGGAUGUACAGCGUGUAUAGUGGGUAUAGUGUGUAUAGCGUGUAUAGUGGGUAUAAGGUGUAUAGUGUGUAUAGGAUGUACAGCGUGUAUAGUGUGUAUAGGAUGUAUAAGCGUGUAUAGGGUGUAUAGUGUGUAUAGGAUGUGUAGGGUGUAUAGUGUGUAUAGGAUGUAUAGCGUGUAUAGUGUGUAUAGUGUAUAUAGGCUGUAUAGGGUGUAUAGUGUGUAUAGUGUAUAUAGGCUGUAUAGGGUGUAUAGUGUGUAUAGUGUAUAUAGUGUGUAUGACGUGUAUAGUGUAUUAUAGUAUAUUAUACUAUAUUUAUAUUACAUGACGUUUUACUAUAUUAGUGAGCGAAACAUAAAAUGAUAACCGCUUAGUUGGGGAGGGUUAGUUGAUGGGGUGUACAUGGGUUGGAAUGUGGUUUGGGGUUAAAAUUCCGGUAGGAUUGGGUUAGGUCUGGAUUGCUGUUCAGGAUAGUGGAUUGUGUUAGUUUUCAACAGUGCUGUAGGUUUGGGAAGUUUGGAGUGGGUUAGGUGUGUAAAUGUUGUGGGAUUGUGUCCCUGAUGAAAGUGGAAAGAUCGGAUGAAAAUCUUAUUGAGAGUUUGAAAUGAAUAGCUAGGGAUAUAGUGAU